AUGAUGAUGCUAAACAUACCCUAACCAGAAGAAUCUUUGUAUUGGAAGAAUAAUUUGAAUCUUUCUAUUAUGAACUUCUCUUAAAACUUUAUAGACUGUUGCAUCCGAACUCAAAGUUCUAGUUGGAGACUGACUGGUUUCUACGGUUUUCCGGAAAAUAAUAGACGAAGAGCUUCCUGGAAUCUCUUAAGAUCUCUUGCAGCUCGUAGCACAUCUCCUUGACUGAGUGUGGGUGAUUAUAAUGACAUAGCUGCAGACUAUGAGAAGUCUGGUGGGCCCCCUCGCUCUAAUUAUCUUCUGAACGGUUUUAGGGAGUCCAUAAACGACACAGGUUUAUGUGAGUUGUUAACUGUCGGCUACCCUUUUACUUGGGAGGGAAAAACUAGAGAUGGCAACAUCAUCAGAGAGAAGUUAGAUAGAUCUAUGUCCUCUUCCGAUUGGGCGUUGAUUUUUCCGGAGGCAGUUUGCAAGACUCUUCUUGCUCCAGUUUCAGACCAUAAUCCUUUAUUGAUUGAUAUGAAUCCUAUCGACUACUCUAAUUUGAUUCGCCUUUUCAAAUUUGAUAAUGCUUGGCUACUUGAUGAGGAAGUUGAUGGGACCGCGCGUACCAUCCAAUCCCGAAUUAGAAGUUAAGUCAGUUGUUCAGAAUUCUUGGUCUAAAACAGGUACAGUCAAUAUUAUUUGCAAAAGAGACACUGUGAUUGAAGACUUGAAACAGUGGGGUUAUCAUCGAAACAGAGAUUUUUGGCGUAAGAAGCGUAAUAUUCAAAAACAUCUGGAGUCUGAUCGAGAUUUAUUUGAUGGCGCAGAUUCGUUGAGGUUGAAAGAGAAGCGGUGUAAAAUUCUUGUAGAAGAGGAUGUCCGGAAGCGUCAAUAGGCAAAACUUUUUUGGAUGAAAUUUGGUGAUAAAAACACCAAAUAUUUUCACUCUCAAACAAAAAGCGGGAGACGUGUUAACAAAAUUGAACAAUUGCGGUAUGAGGAUGGAGAAAAUUUUUUGAAUCCUUUGGUUAUCCAGAAAAUUAUUGUUGAUUAUUUUCGAUCUCUGUUCUCGGCGGAUAGUGUUUCUGAACGUGCCCGUCUGCUUCAUCUUGUUCCUAGAAAGGUUACACAAGCAGACAACGAUUUUCUAUUGGUUUCGUUUAGUAGUGAAGAAUUUAAAGAGGCUAUUUUUUCUAUGCAUCCCGACAAAGCUCCAGGCCCAAAUGGACUUAAUCCAGCCUUUUAUCAGAAAUUUUGGCACAUUGUGGGCAAUGAGGUGGUGGCUAGUUGCAAUACUUGGCUCUCUUAAGAUUUAGAAACGAGAGGGAAAGAAGCUGCAAAUUUAUCUGCUAUUCAUGUUUGGAAGUUGUGGUGUUCCAGGAAUGACUUUCUGUGGAGCAAAAAGUUCAUUUCGCAGCUCAAAUUCAUGGUAUUGCAUCCUCCUUCAUGCAUGAAUGGAAGUCCAUGUUACUUACACUAAGAGGAACCCACUCACUGUAUGCUUUUCAUGGCCCUUAUUCAACAUCUCUUAACGGCUUGGAUGAUUGUAGUCCUUGUUGGCAAGCUUUUGUUGAUGGUGCAACCUUCCAUGCUCAAGACUUAAUCGGCUUUGGUACAGUAAUAGAAGAUAUUGAAAGAGCUUUUAUUCAAGCUGUAUCAGGCUUGCAAGAAGGAAAUGUUGACCCUCGCAUUGUCGAAUCAAUUGCUCUUCGCCAUUGUUUAUUGCUUGUGCUAAUCUCCCUGUUGCUGGUUUUAUUUUUUCAAACUGUCAAGUUUUAGUUCAUGCCCUUUAUUCCUCUAGAGACGAUAAUUCUGAGUUUGGUAUGCUUGUUUUGGAUCGUAAACGUUUACUUGAAAGUAGGCUUGAUGUUUAAGUCAAGUGGUUUAAGAAAUAAGCUAAUAUUGGUAUUCAUAAAUUUAUCAGAGUAUCAAUUUAUUA